UGCGCGUGCUCAGUGCUAUGGGGUUCUGUUUUUUUUGCCGGUUUGGUCAGGCUCAGGGUCAGGGUGAGGUGGUCAUGGCAUUGCAGGGGUGUUGGCGCGCGGGAUGGAGGAAAAACCUUGAAUUAGCCAAGAGCGAGGUCGAGCGCGGGCCAGGCCUAUGUAGGGGACCCUCCCUCGUCAGGGCAAGGGGGCUGCCCCCUUCCCUGGCAGCCCCACACCACGCAGACAGGCAGAGAGCCCGCGUAGUGCCUGCCCGCAGAGCGGCCUCUUCCCCAGUGCGCUGGGGUGCAGGGGCGCCAGAGGCUUCCUCCCUGAUGUCUCUGAGGCGUUCACACACCCCUGCCCACGAACAGACCUGUCUGCCCUGUGCCCAGGAGCGUGCAGGGGAGCCAUGCCCAUCUCCACCCCCAUGCCUGCCUGCCUCCUCACCCAAGCCAAAACGCACAUGCCUGCCUGCCCAAGCCAACCUGCCCAUGCCUGCUGCCCACCUACAUGCAUAUGCCUGCUCACUCAUACCCAUCUGCCUGCUCACCCCUGUGCACAUACACCAAUGCACCUCAGCCUAGGGGGCAGCAACAUAUGCUCUGGCAUGCCUUGUGCAAGUGGAAACACAGCAGGGGGUGUGUGAGGUUUUCAGCAAGCCAUGAAGUCGAUGCACCAUCUCUCUUGCUUUGUCAGAGCUGCCUUUUGACUCCCACAAAGAGAGGCUCUGCCCUGCAGGCCUGUGCCUCUGCCAGGGAAGUCACUGCAGUGCCAGCGCAACAAGCUAGCUGUAUUCUCCAGGACAGCUGCUGUGAGAGGUAACUAAGCACAACUGGAAGUUCUGCAAAUAUAUAACAGAGAGAAUCAGGCUCUUUGUGACAAGACUGCUCCCCUACUUGCUCCAUGACCUCCUGUGUGAAUGUGGAAUGAGGAUCCUGGGCACCCAUAACACCCAUAACAAUAGCUGGCAAUUCCGUAAAGUCUUGGAGCUGCCUCGUGGGCAAGUGGCUGCUCAUCACCAUUCACCAACAGGAUCCUCUUCUCAGGUGGCUGCUCCUCAGGCUGGCGGGCGAUCAGUAGGCGGCAAGUGAGCAGGAUCCCAAAGACCAGGGCGUGGGCA